AUCCUUCGGUUCAUGAGCAUGAUGAUUGGUUAUUCAUGCCUUAUGCAAGAGAUGUGCCUCCCUCAAAUCUUGUUACGAUGUGGGCACAUUACCCGUCUAACA